rnacentral:lncRNA from 1 species
GACAACCCGAUACUCUGCUUGAUUAUUAGUGGCGGAAGCCUCAAUUGGCAGAGAGAAAUCAUAACUUGCCUCCCGAGGCGAUAUGAGGAUGAUGCCGAUUCCUGACCCAGCCCUACACGAAGAUCCAUCAAAGUACAAUGUCCACGGAGCUGACUCGACAACAGUCAUCUCUGGUCCACAAUGCUGGGCUACAAAGUCGGCCAUUACUUGACCCUUGACAGCCUUGGCCGAUUCGUACCUCAGAUCGAAUUCUGAGAGGGCUAGAAUCCAU